CCUACGGGUGGCAGCAGUGAGGAAUAUUGGUCAAUGGGCGCGAGCCUGAACCAGCCAAGUCGCGUGAGGGAUGACGGUUCUAUGGGUCGUAAACUUCUUUUAUAAGGGAAUAAAGUGAGGCACGUGUCCUAUUUUGUAUGUACCUUAUGAAUAAGGAUCGGCUAACUCCGUGCCAGCAGCCGCGGUAAUACGGAGGAUCCGAGCGUUAUCCGGAUUUAUUGGGUUUAAAGGGUGCGUAGGCGGCCUGUUAAGUCAGUGGUGAAAGUCUGCGGCUCAACCAUAAAAUUGCAGUUGAUACUGGGGGGCUUGAGUAUGUUUGAGGCAGGCGGAAUUCGUGGUGUAGCGGUGAAAUGCUUAGAUAUCACGCAGAACCCCGAUUGCGAAGGCAGCCUGCCAAGCCAUGACUGACGCUGAUGCACGAAAGUGUGGGGAUCAAACAGGAUUAGAUACCCGAGUAGUC
rnacentral:rRNA from 1 species